rnacentral:rRNA from 1 species
GACGAACCGUGCGAACGUUGUUCGGAAUCACUGGGCUUAAAGGGCGCGUAGGCGGGCUGCCAAGUUCGGGGUGAAAUCCUCCCGCUUAACGGGAGAACGGCCUCGAAUACUGGCGGUCUCGAGGGAGGUAGGGGCGUGCGGAACUAUGGGUGGAGCGGUGAAAUGCGUUGAUAUCCAUAGGAACUCCGGUGGCGAAGGCGGCACGCUGGACCUUUUCUGACGCUGAGGCGCGAAAGCCAGGGGAGCAAACGGGG